UACGUAGGGUGCAAGCGUUAAUCGGAAUUACUGGGCGUAAAGCGUGCGCAGGCGGUUAUGUAAGACAGAUGUGAAAUCCCCGGGCUCAACCUGGGAACUGCAUUGUGACUGCAUAGCUAGAGUACGGUAGAGGGGGAUGGAAUUCCGCGUGUAGCAGUGAAAUGCGUAGAGAUGCGGAGGAACACCAGUGGCGAAAGCGCUUUCUGGUCCUUAACUGACGCUGAGGCGCGAAAGCAUGGGGAGCGAACGGG
rnacentral:rRNA from 1 species